CUGCUAAGUCUCAGAGUGAUUCACAAACUGGGGAAGAUAGACGUUUGGCUGUCUAGUCAUGUGCAGGGCUUAAUCCAAUAGGUGUGCUCAACUGGAUCAGCCCCCUCAGGCAAUGUCACACAAAACAGCUGGAGGGGUCAGGGAGGAAGAGAAAGACCUCCCUUACCACUUUUAGCCUAGUGGUUAGGGUAUUCGCUCAUGAUCUGGGAGACACCCGCUGACCCCCCAAUACAGGUCCCCUCUCCACCUGAUGAAGAGAAGGAAUUUGAACAGGGAUCUACCACCUCUCAAAUGUCCUGUCCUGUACUAUGAGGCUCCAGUUCUGCUGUCAUUGAAGUGAACGGCAAAAUUCCUCCUGGAUUACUUGCAGGAUCAGACUCACAGGGUGUAAAAUUAAACAUGCAUAGGCCUCCCGAAGACGUUUUGCCACACCAGGCUACUUUCAGCCCCUGGAUGCUAUUUUCUCUCUCCUUAUGUCCUGGUAUUUGCGUUGGUAAAAGCAUAUAUUCUAACCCUGUUGUUAAGAU